GAGAGGUGUGUGUGUGGAGUUUGUUGCUCUUGCUUGGUGCACUUACAUAUUGUGAUCACAUUGCACGUUUAAGUAAAUAUAUAUAGUGGUGUUGUGUAUCCUGUGUUUGGUUCCUGUCCCUUCACUCAAAAUGGAAGAAGUUUCUCAUCCUUCACAAUCAGAUGUUGAGCAACCACACCCCCCUGUUAAUCACAAUAGACCAUUUUUCUACGUCCAACCACCUUCUCAACCUUAUUUCAUGUAUCAAUGGCCAAUGGAUCCAUUUGGACAGUAUGGCUUCCCAGGACCAGUAUUUCCUUUUGGGCGUCCCUACAUGCCUCCAUAUCAAUUUAUGCAGUAUCCUGGUUACGUAGUCCCACAUGCGCCCAUGCAGCCAACUGAUUACAGAAGGGUUGCCCCGCUCUUUCCUCCCGUCGCUUCCUACGACCUCCGUUUCCGUCAACAGUUCCAGCAGACGAGCAUGCACCGUGAGACCACGUCGUCUGAGGCCCAGACGGAGCCCAGAGAUCCGGUUAGCAAGCUGAUGGAUAGCCUUGAAAGUCUCCGAGCAUGUGAAAAAUCUGGAGCGGUUAAGGACUCCACUGUGAUGUUUUCCUCAACUCCUGCUGUAAACUUGUUUACUGGUGAGGUGGAGAAGAUGAAGGCUGGAGAUAAGAUAAAUGUGAAGCCUGCUUCUCAGUUUGAUAAGGCAGAGCAGGAUGACUUGUCAAAACUGGUGACUCCCUGUGACUCGGCUGUGUAUGAUGCAGAGUCAAGCCAGGGCCGUCUAGAGGAGUGUGUGCUGUCGGAUGUGCUGCCUCUUGACAGUUCCUCAAUUCGUGACGAAAAUCAGGACCAAGAUUACAAAAGGGGCGAUUCAAAGAUGCUGUGUUUUCAGAGUGAGAAAUGUGGUGGAAGCCAUUCAGCUGAGGUCGAAGACUCCGGCGCUCAUGUUUCUGACCUAUUUGAGGGCAAGUCCUCCAUUCAAAGUGAGCAGGUUGAGUAUUUGUCUCCUGAGUCUGUAGAGGUUACCGAGCCUCUCUUGCAGAUGACCGCAGACUGUGAUCUGCCAUAUCAAAUCCUCCGCCUUCCUUGCAAUAAAACCACCACUGGUUUGUUGCUUCAAAAAGAGGUCGACCCAUUGCUCUACAUGGAUCCGUCUGCUCUACUGCCUUCUAAAAGCUACACUUUUGGAAGCCCGUACACUCACAACUACUACCCUCAGGUGGUUCCUGAGCGUCAGAGUGUUCUCAGUCCUUCGUUAGAUGAACUGUCCUCCAGGGAUGAGAUGUUCUCCACUGAUGUCGAAGAUGAUCCAACAUCUGGGCAAGCCUAUGUAGAUGGUGGCAAGCUGGCAGAAACUGGAGUUGUUCCCACCCCCGCUGAAACGGCUCAGACAGAUAAAGCAUGCACUGUCUGGGCCAAGACUUGUGCCUGCUGUGGUGCAAGCCUUCCAGAUGAAGAUGUCAGCCCUGCAGAACUGUUGGAACAGGAUUGUGACUGUGAACUGGACGAAGAUCCUGAGGAGCCAAGUACCUGCAGUGCUCAGAAAGUAGUAUUAAUGCAGAACCCUUCUAGGCAAGGAUUAUCACCUUGUUCUCAAGUUUCUAAACACACAGCCAGGAAGGUGCUGGAGGUUGCAGAGCCAAGUGGGCAGGACCAAGGCCAUGGCAGAGGAGAGUGUGGUGAUCAGUCCUGUUCAGCUGCUAAAGGAGACAAGGGCCGAGGCAAAUGUCAAAAGGGUGCCCAGUUCAGAUCUUACUCUGAGCAUUGUCCAAGAGAAGGUCUAGAACUAGUGGACCAGGAGAAUUGGUCUGGCUGCAACGGCAAGCAGAGAUCACGUACCUGCAGGCCAGCCAAUGGUCUUCAAGAAAAAGGUGUUCCCACCCCCCCAAAUUUGUGGGAGACCUGCAAGACGAAGGCCUUCGUGCAAGACGUUUGCUCAGCAGAGGCCAAGGAGAAAUGAAUACGAUGACCACAAUGAGGCAGACUUUUCCUACUGUCAAAGGGGCAGAGGAUCUACGAAAAGAAGAGGCACAAGAUACUAAACUAUGAUGAGCACCGCUUUAAUACUUAAAUGUAUUACCUAAUAAUAAGAAUAAACACUAUUGCACUAUGGAAUGCACAAAAGCAUGCUAUAAUUAAUAAAAUAAGCACGGGUAACUGUUCAAAUAAGGGGUGUUGCUGAAAUAAACUGCGUUUUUGACGCUCAUGCCACUUCAUUUUGAGUGCUGUGCAUUCAUCUUAAUCUGGCCUGAGGAGCGUUUUUCUCUGGACCAGGCCUUGCCAUGCUUUAUGCAUUCAUGUGUGUGGCUGGAUCUGGGAGGUGUAGAUCUAGUCUGUUCGCUUUUAGCACUGCUUGUCAAGGUCUGAUUCACAGAACGCUUUCUCAGGUUUAUUUAUCUUUCUUUUUUUGAAGGAUGGGCAUCAGAAAUGCAGCUUGAAAAUAAAUAAAUUAAUAAUAAAAAAAAUAGAAAAAUUGUGAUAUCUUGGCAGUCUGGCUGAGCCUAGUUUAGACAUGUCGUUUUAUCAUGCAACUGUCGUUUUAUACCUGAAAUGCAGUGUACUGUUGACUUACAGUGGUCAUUAAAAUCUUUGCAUUGCA